AGUGCUAAAAAUCUUUUAAGCCUGUGAAAUAUCCCUUUAAUGAUUGCUUUUAGUGACAUUUUAAACAACCAAUAACUGGCACCGUCUGAUUUCACAUCAACCAAUCAGGUUGAUUGUCCCGCCCCUUUAACUGCAGCGCUGAGAUUUAGCUCAGAUUGCGUCUAACUCCCGUGAGAGCUGAGAGCUGACGGUUGUUCCGUGAAUCCCCCGUAAGAUUCUGUUAAAUUCUACAAAGAAUCCUGGAAAUUGAUCUCCAAAAGCUUCUAACAGCUGACGUCCGG